ensembl:ncRNA C30G12.9 ncRNA
GAUGAUAAGUAAAAGAGCAACGAUUCGUGGCUACAUUCCGGUUUUGUAAAUAAUAACCAAACAAGGGGUCAGUAACCAGAAAA